CGUGUAGGCGGUAAUGUAAGUCAGACGUGAAAUCCUUUAGCUCAACUGAAGAACUGCGUCUGAAACUGCAUGACUAGAGUGCAGAAGAGGGAAACGGAAUUCCUGGUGUAGAGGUGAAAUUCGUAGAUAUCAGGAGGAACACCGGUGGCGAAGGCGGUUUCCUGGUCUGACACUGACGCUGAGGCGCGAAAGCGUGGGGAGCAAACAGGAUUAGAUACCCUGGUAGUCCACGCCGUAAACGGUGGGUACUGGGUGUGGGAGGUGUAAUGCCUUCUGUGCCGAAGCUAACGCGUUAAGUACCCCGCCUGGGGAGUACGGCCGCAAGGUUGAA
rnacentral:rRNA from 1 species